rnacentral:tRNA from 1 species
GGUAAUGAAUUGAAAUUUUUUGGCUCAUAACCGGUGGGUCGUAGGUUCGAAUCCUACCGGGCCCA